UGGGGAAUAUUGGACAAUGGGGGAAACCCUGAUCCAGCAAUGCCGCGUGAGUGAAGAAGGCCUUAGGGUUGUAAAGCUCUUUCGCCCGCGAAGAUAAUGACGGUAGCGGGAGAAGAAGCCCCGGCUAACUCCGUGCCAGCAGCCGCGGUAAUACGGAGGGGGCUAGCGUUGUUCGGAAUUACUGGGCGUAAAGCGUACGUAGGCGGAUGCGCAAGUUGGGGGUGAAACCCCGGGGCUUAACCUCGGAAUUGCCCUCAAAACUGCACGUCUUGAGACCGAGAGAGGUAAGGGGAAUUCCUAGUGUAGAGGUGAAAUUCGUAGAUAUUAGGAAGAACACCAGUGGCGAAGGCGCCUUACUGGCUCGGUACUGACGCUGAGGUACGAAAGCGUGGGGAGCAAACA
rnacentral:rRNA from 1 species